GAUGAACGCUAGCGGGAGGCCUAACACAUGCAAGCCGAGCGGUAUUGUUUCUUCGGAAAUGAGAGAGCGGCGUACGGGUGCGGAACACGUGUGCAACCUGCCUUUAUCUGGGGGAUAGCCUUUCGAAAGGAAGAUUAAUACUCCAUAACAUAUUGAUUGGCACCAAUUAAUAUUGAAAGCUCCGGCGGAUAGAGAUGGGCACGCGCAAGAUUAGCUAGUUGGUGAGGUAACGGCUCACCAAGGCGAUGAUCUUUAGGGGGCCUGAGAGGGUGAUCCCCCACACUGGUACUGAGACACGGACCAGACUCCUACGGGAGGCAGCAGUGAGGAAUAUUGGUCAAUGGGUGCAAGCCUGAACCAGCCAUCCCGCGUGAAGGACGACUGCCCUAUGGGUUGUAAACUUCUUUUGUAUAAGGAUAAACCUACCCUCGUGAGGGUAGCUGGAGGUACUAUACGAAUAAGCACCGGCUAACUCCGUGCCAGCAGCCGCGGUAACAC
rnacentral:rRNA from 1 species